rnacentral:rRNA from 1 species
UACGUAGGGUGCAAGCGUUGUCCGGAAUCACUGGGCGUAAAGCGCACGUAGGCGGCUUCUUAAGUCAGGGGUGAAAUCCCAGAGCUCAACUCUGGAACUGCCUUUGAUACUGGGUAUCUUGAGUAUGGAAGAGGUAAGUGGAAUUCCGAGUGUAGAGGUGAAAUUCGUAGAUAUUCGGAGGAACACCAGUGGCGAAGGCGGGCUUACUGGUCCAUUACUGACGUGAGGUGCGAAAGCGUGGGGGAGCAAACAGG